rnacentral:rRNA from 1 species
GACGAACGCUGGCGGCGCGCCUAACACAUGCAAGUCGAACGAGCGAGAGAGAGCUUGCUUUCUCGAGCGAGUGGCGAACGGGUGAGUAACGCGUGAGGAACCUGCCUCAAAGAGGGGGACAACAGUUGGAAACGACUGCUAAUACCGCAUAAGCCCACGGCUCGGCAUCGAGCAGGGGGAAAAGGAGCAAUCCGCUGUGAGAUGGCCUCGCGUCCGAUUAGCUAGUUGGUGGGGUAACGGCCCACCAAGGCGACGAUCGGUAGCCGGACUGAGAGGUUGAACGGCCACAUUGGGACUGAGACACGGCCCAGACUCCUACGGGAGGCAGCAGUGGGGAAUAUUGCACAAUGGGGGAAACCCUGAUGCAGCGACGCCGCGUGGAGGAAGAAGGUCUUCGGAUUGUAAACUCCUGUUGUUGGGGAAGAUAAUGACGGUACCCAACAAGGAAGUGACGGCUAACUACGUG